rnacentral:rRNA from 1 species
UUGAUGGCGACCGGCGCACGGGUGAGUAACACGUAUCCAACCUGCCGAUGACUCGGGGAUAGCCUUUCGAAAGAAGAUUAAUACCCGAUGGCAUAGUUCUUCCGCAUGGUAGAACUAUUAAAGAAUUUCGGUCAUCGAUGGGGAUGCGUUCCAUUAGGUUGUUGGCGGGGUAACGGCCCACCAAGCCUUCGAUGGAUAGGGGUUCUGAGAGGAAGGUCCCCCACAUUGGAACUGAGACACGGUCCAA